GCUCGUGUAGUCUAGCGGUUAUGAUGUCUGCUUUACAUCUAUAGUUUUCUAUUGAUUUGAAGCGCAGAAGGUCCCGCGUUCGAUCCGCGGCACGAGUA